UAAAGGAGAUGGAAACCCAACUUGUCGAAUUGAACGCAGCGAUAGCUUUUUUGUCUAUGAAAAUAUACCUGCUUUCAACUGGAGGCAACAUGGUUGUAAAGAAAAAGACUAAGAUAGGCUCGAAUCCUUUAAACUCAAAUAAAGGAAAAAGGAAAAUUAGAUUCGGCCCUAUUCCUAUAACUAGAUCUAGAAGAGUAUGGCGGGUCAAAAGGAAGUCUAGGUUAUUUGAAGUGGGUUCUACGUCGGGUAUCGGCGUAGAGACAUCUAUAAUAGAAUGUCAUUCACCUUGUGUGACUUCUGUACCCAAAGAAACUAUGGCUCCCUCAUUGGAGUUGAAGGAAAAUGAUGUCAUACCAUUGGUGAAGGGACCCGCUGAAGUUGCACAUAAAGGGUCACCAGAGGUGAAGGGACUUGAUGUCAUACCAUUGGAGAUAACCAAUGGAGUUGCUGAGGAGGUAUGAGAUUUGAACAUGGAUUUGGCGUUGGUGUCUUGCCUAGAGUCGGGAGUGCAGCUGGAUACUGUGUUUGGGGAUACUAUAGCUCCCUUGGUCUCUCAUCCUCCAAUAGCAGAUUGAAUUCUGCCUAAAGUUAACGAGAUUCAACAGUUCGUGGGAAUUUCACAUGGAGGAUGUGAAGACCAAUUUAAAGAAUUAAUUAUUGCGAUCGAGGCAAGCCACUCGCUUGAAACCAAAUCAAGUUUCAAGAAAAGCAAGGAGUUACAGCGUCUUUUUUCUACAAUCAACUACGACGCUAAGGGUGAUAGCUCAACUAGAGGAAAGUCUAAAAGGAGGGCAUUGUGAAGACGGGAAACAAGAGGUUGGGGUCGGACUUGGUGUAUUUUGGGUUGUUUUUCAUGGACUUUUUGGGUUAAUAGGGGUUUUCUAUUAUGGGCAAAGUGUUCUCUUGUAUACAUCAGUGUACUUGGUUACUCCUUUUGAUAUAUAUAUAAUAUUUUU